rnacentral:rRNA from 1 species
UACGUAGGGGGCAAGCGUUGUCCGGAAUCACUGGGCGUAAAGCGCACGUAGGCGGAUGUGUCAGUCAGGGGUGAAAUCCCGGGGCUCAACCUCGGAACUGCCUUUGAUACAGCACGUCUCGAGUCCGGAAGAGGUGGGUGGAAUUCCUAGUGUAGAGGUGAAAUUCGUAGAUAUUAGGAAGAACACCGGUGGCGAAGGCGGCCCACUGGUCCGGUACUGACGCUGAGGUGCGAAAGCGUGGGGAGCAAACAGG